GGUCUGGGCACCUCCCAGUUCCUCAUCUGGACUCACUGGGAGAAGUGAUUCACUAGAAUUCUCAUUGGAAGAAAUGACAGGAAAGCUCCCUCCAAUAUCUCAAUUUCCACCCCACUCAGUACCUGGUUUUAUGAUUCCACACCCUCCUAAUCCAUCCUGCCCUCCUAAUACAUCCCACUCUCGUAAGCCAUCCCACUCUCGUAAGCCAUCCCACUCUCGUGCCCGCGAAUCCCUCCCUCUUCUUCCAUCUGCCAAGCCCCUUCCUCCUCUCCAGAAGUAUGUGGAUUUUUCAGUUUUCUGCCCUAACUGUUAUCCCACUGUGGCUCAUACCUGCCCUCCCCACUACCCUACCCUAAUACUCUACCUGCCCUGCCCUUCUGCUAUUCAUUACAAACCAUCCAUUUGUCAAUGCUCUAGUCCCAGAACUCUUUCUGGUAACUCCCUUAUCGAUCACCCAAGCCCUCCUUCUAGCCCUACUGGUCAACGCUUGGGUCCCAGAACUCUUCCCUGUGAUUCCCUUAUCCGUUCCCCUGUUCCUCCUCCUAGCCCUCCUUGCCAACGCUCUGGUCCCAGAACUCUUUUCUGUGACUACCCUGUCUGUCCCCCUACUCCUCCUCCCAGCCCUACUUGCAAAUGCUGUCGUCCCAGAGCUGUUUCCUGGGACUCCUCUACCUAUGCCUCUACCCCUCCUCCUUAGCCCUACUUCUUUCUAGUACCCUGUACUCUAGUCCCCAGCCCCCAGCCCUGCCAUCCCCAACCAGACCUGAUGGUUCACAAGUCUCAUCUUGGAGAUGGUUUCCCUGCUCCCGGGGCAGUUCUGGAACAGUUCAGGAUGGCCAGGACUGUGGAUUCCCAGCAGUCUGACCUGGUGGACAAAGGAAAUGCAAGACGAUGGCAAACCAGCAUUCAGCCUCAUCUGCUCCUUUCCUCCCCUGCCUUAUCAGCCAGCCUGCAUGAGCCUCUACAUCUGUUCCUGGCUUCUCCAUG
rnacentral:lncRNA from 1 species